AGGUAUGGCUCCGCCUGGAAAGGUAACCCCUUUCUCUGAAAAUUUGCAUUCCAUUAUCCUUCUCCACCGUUAGGUCUUGCUCCAAGGUCCAUUGAAAUCAAAGGGGUCUCAAUCAGGGGAACAAGGUUGAAAGCAGACACUAGCUGUCACUUGACUUUAUAGAAGCUCAAAUCUAAUUUUUUGUAGAACCUCACAGCAGGUUACAAGAAAAGAUGGUUUUCCCAAAGAUCUUCUCAGGUUUUCUAUGAUCAAAAUUACAUUACAUUACAUUACAUUAUUUCUGUGUGAUGGCUGAAGCUACUGCACUUGCUAUAGUAUCUGAAGAAUCAAAUGAGGCUCUCAAUCACUGUUUAGCUAUGAGCUGUCCUUCUGCUAUUAAGGGUUUAACCAAUUUCCUUUGCUCUUCAGGCAGAUCUCUAGCAAAUAAAGAAUAUUUUCUCCCAGAGAAAGUACUGAUACCUAGACAUUAUGGUCCGAUAAUUAGAAAUCCUAAUGCCUACUGAGGUUGAGAAGAAAAUCUUCCUGCUCUGAGUAUCCAGCUUUUUGUCCUUUUUGUUAGAGGGGUAGAAAGCACUGACCUUCUUUUGUUCUCUGAAAUACUGUGGUGAACACCAGGGAGUGGGGUGUAUGUAGAAAAAAAGAAAAUCCCUUGUACAGUAAUUGAUAGCCCUUAUCGGCCUUCUUUAACAGGGCUUGACCAGUGAGUGGCUGGAUUUGCACAGAUAGUUUUGUCUAGUUGGAGUAACCUUUCAAAAAUUGGGAGGAUAAUCUUGCUGUUAGGAGAGCCCAUUAUACUCAACAAUGGAUAAGAGGUUGCUUUUCCUCACAGAGAUGGAUCUUUAAAGUUGAAGCCAUUCUGACCACCAGUUUGUGAAAUGUAACGGCAUCUUCUGAUGGGGAAGAUGUUGAUGAGACACCCACACUGUCAACAGGGGAUGUCUGAUCAUCAGGUCGCUAAUCAAUGUUCUGGUAUUCAAUGGAUCCCUCUGGUUCUUCCUCCGAGAGGGAAUCUGAGACUGCCAUUAGGGAGUGCUGCUCUCUAUACCCAGUGUAGGUGGAUGCAGGAAUACUGAAUCUGUUUUAUGAAAUUUUCCCUGACCUCUAAAAGGAGGAUAUUGGACUUUUCAUUCCUCAAGCUGUUGGGACUGGUGCAGACCUCUCAGUACUCAUGGAACCAAUGGUUACAGAAUUGAAAGGUUUGCCUGCUAGUGUCUCCUAAAAUACAAAGCAAUAAAACCAGUUUUGAUGUAACUUGAGAGUUCUUGAGGUGAAAGUGCUUCAGACUGCAUACCAAGAAGGAGAGUGUCUUUCCUUCAAGCAAGCCACACUCCUAAUAUUGGUAUGCAAAGAAGGGAAUACAGCAGGACAAGAAGCAUACCUCUUAAAUCUUAACCUUUUUCCUUUGGAUCUGCAACAGGAUCCGUAGCCCACAGUGAGCUGUGAGAACUAACAAUAUUUAUAAAAUAACUUUUUGAAAUAUACAAAAGUAAUGAAUCUAUACUCUGUUCUAAUUAACUAAAAUCUAACUCAGGCAUUGCAUCUUUGAAGAAGCUGGAUCCGGGUUGGAUCAUCUUGGAGAGGUUGUAGUCUAUCUGCUGACACAGCUGGAAGGAAGUAUGGCAGCAUGCCCCCUUUUAUAGCCUCUCCCUCAGAAUGUUCAGAAACAUCUAAGGGAGUAGUCGGAGGGAGCAGGAGAGCACACUGCUACAAAAUGUUCUGCCAUUAGUGCUGUACCAACAGAACAUCCCAGCAGAGGGAAUGAGCAGAAGCCAUUUGAAAAACACCUGUGAUACCCACAAAACAGCAUGGCAUCCUGCUCAUUAAGGAACGAAAUUAGGUAUGUUCACACAAUUAGGCACAUAUCACUUCCAUUGUUUAAUGAUGGUGGGAAAAAAUGUUAGGACUAGUCUACACUGGCAAUACUAAAGCGCGGCCGCAGCAGAGCUUUAAUGUGGCUUGUGUGAUCAUGGCACAGCCUCUCCUGUGCUCUAAAAAAACCCACCUCCAUGAGGGGCGUAGCUCCCAGUGGUGGUGCACUGUCUACGCUGGCAGUUUACAGCACUGAAACUUGCUGUGCUUGGGGGGGGGGGGUGUUUUUUCAAACUCCCGAGCGAGAAAGUUGCAGCACUGUAAAUUGCCACUGUAGACAAGACCUGGCUUAGAGUCUCCUGAUGACAGCACUGCUGAUACCAGUGCUAGACAUCAACCACCAUGCUCAUUUUAAGAAGCCUUUGGUCCAAAAUAGAACAUUAUAUUAAAAAGCAAGAAUAUCCAGAUUGUACGCUUUCCAACACAAACAUCAUGUCCUCAGAAUAGGACCCCAAAUCAUGACUGAGAUUUUCUGAGCAUUCUGCAAUAUACAUAUGUAGCAGUAAUAAACUCAUUAGCCAAAAAAAAAACCCCAGAACACAUUUAAUAGGAAUAUAAUUGUUUACAAUUAUCAGCUUAUACCCAACCAAAACAGAAUCCUAUCCUUGUUUUGAUGCUACAUUAAAUUAAUAAACUUCAAGAACACAUCUGCAGGCCAGGCCUGUAUCUCUAACAGGUAGUCCAGCGAAUUUCUGAUAAACCUGCUGCAUUUGAAAUAGACACAGAAAUUACUUGUGUAUAAGUCAGAAGUAUGUUGCCCUUUGAUGUAAAUAAAUCACAGUCAGCAACAUCAAAGAAUUACAUACUUGGAUUGAGAAGAGAUGACAACAACGGAGAGUGCCCAAAGUGGUCAACAGAUACCCUAAGAUCUCAUCUUUAGCCACUCCUCUGUGUACAGGCAGACCUGUUUUCUCUCCUCCCCCCCCCCUUUUUUGGGGGGCAGAUUUUUUGUUUUGGUUUGGUGCCAGACUGGCAGUUUUGGAGAUUGCAGUCUUCAAUUUAUCCACAGAAUAGUGUGACAAAGUUCCUCCUCUACCUUGGUGGGUCUUGCUCUUAUUGGCGGAUUUGCUCGCCUUGGAGCUUCACGGCAGCCCUCAGUUUGGCCAUUUUUGUGAACCCACA